CCUACGGGAGGCUGCAGUGGGGAAUAUUGGACAAUGGGGGCAACCCUGAUCCAGCCAUGCCGCGUGUGUGAAGAAGGCCCUCGGGUUGUAAAGCACUUUCAGUGAGGAAGAACGCCUGGUGGUUAAUACCCAUCAGGAAAGACAUCACUCACAGAAGAAGCACCGGCUAACUCCGUGCCAGCAGCCGCGGUAAUACGGAGGGGGCGAGCGUUAAUCGGAAUUACUGGGCGUAAAGCGCGCGUAGGUGGCUUGAUAAGCCGGUUGUGAAAGCCCCGGGCUCAACCUGGGAACGGCAUCCGGAACUGUCAAGCUAGAGUGCAGGAGAGGAAGGUAGAAUUCCCGGUGUAGCGGUGAAAUGCGUAGAGAUCGGGAGGAAUACCAGUGGCGAAGGCGGCCUUCUGGACUGACACUGACACUGAGGUGCGAAAGCGUGGGUAGCAAACAGGAUUAGAUACCCGAGUAGUC
rnacentral:rRNA from 1 species